CCUCAAAGACGGGGGUGGAGAGCGCCGAGUCAGAAGAGAGCUAAAAUGGCGGAGGUUGGGAGUCCCUGCUUUGACUCUGUUUGCAAACUCUUGUUUCAUCGUUUAGCAAUUAAAACUCUCGAGUAGACGCUGUCUCUUUAGAUGCGAGGGCAAAAUAGCACUUUAUGGACUUCCACAGAGGACAUCAUUUUUAAUACGGUUCCGGAAAAAUCCAGUCAGAAGUUGUUAAAUAUGUUCACGGAGUUUUCACAAUAACUGCUUCAUGAACCGAAGCUGGCUUUGCGCGACAUCUCCUCCUGAAAGUUGGAUUACCGUGCACUUCUGGAUCACAGGCUGUAAGUAUUCAUGUUUAUUAUUUGCCUUUUACUGUAAGUUACGUUACCGGUAACCGGAGCUUAACAUUAUGUGCGUGUAAAGCUAAGCUUGCAAGCUAAUUGUUUUGUGUUGUAAUACUGUAUUUCAUAAACAACGUACCAUAUUUACACACGUGUAUGUUGAAUUAUGCAGACAAUUGUUUUUUAUCAAUGUUGAUUUAGACGUGUUUACAAACUUGCUAAGUUACCAGCUAAACUGUUACCAGUAAAGUUUGUUUUCAUGAUCAAACUCAAGAAACUCUAAGUACAGAUGAUUUGUUUAACGUUAUAUGUAUUUUACUGUUGUAUUUACUUGAAGCUUUCUUAGAUUUUGAAAUGAAGUAAACACGUAAUGUGUGUUGCUAAUGUUGGGCCAUGUAAAAACGUUUUAAUGAAUAGUCUAACGAUUUAUAGUCGUUGUACCCUAUUGUUAUAAUAUGUCUUUUUGACUGAAUACAUGUUGGUUUUAUUUGUCUAUAUUCUAGAUUCGCAGCUGGACACACUCUUCUACACUGUAGGAAGCAGUAGACGUGAUGUACAAUGCCAAACAUGCAACAUCAUUACACACAGUACAAGGAGUCAGACUGGCAUAUGAGGAGCAAAGGAACCCAGGCAGUAGCAUCGUUUCACAAUGUUUCCAUCACCAUCAUCAUGCCUUUGCCGUCCAUAGCCUGAGAUUUUAGAUUUGCAGCAAAAAAUUUGAUUUUCCCAUUUAUUGGAAUGCUGUGCAGGUUGUACCUUGCAGCCAUCCAUUACAAUGUCACCAAGCCGUAACAAAAGCAGGAGAGGGAAAGUACAAGGCUAUGUUCCCAAAACACACAAGUGACAUAUUGUAAGCAGUAAUGUUUUUAUUUCAAAUAUAUUCAUAAAUAAAAACUUAAUGUAUGAAGCAGAGAAAUAAAUGAUCAAAACAAAAGAUUUAUUGACUGCAAUAUUUGUACAGGCAUGUUGAUGAUGUGAUUGUGAUCAGGCUUGUGUUUGAUGAGGUAUUUGAAGAUAAGCUGAAGGAAACCCCGAUUCCAAUGGACCUGGCAUCCCAGUUUGAGAGACCUUCAAAGGAGGACGUGAUUGCAUGCCAUCUCACGAACUUCAGUGCAGGGGUCGUCGGAAGCCAACAUUCUGAUCAGGAAGCUCCAAGCGUAUCUGGAGAACAACACACAACAGGAUGAUAACCUUAUAGUGUCGUCUUAAAUAGCACCACCUGACAAAGCUUUGAUAUGCCAUUUAUCUGUAUAGAUAGCUGUAAGAAGUGAAUUGAACAAUUUUUGAAAGAAGAGCACAAUAUGGUUACUAAAGUAGGUUUAUUUGUAUAUUGUUUAACAUUUAAAUAUAUAUUUGUAAUAAAUAAAAAAACUUUUAACUGACUACUAUAUUUUCUUUGAAGUUACAUAUUUUGUUCUUUUGGGUACUUUGUUACUAUAAUGAUACUUUAGUGUUAUUGGUUUAAAAAUGUAAUAAAACUUACUCUAGUC